rnacentral:lncRNA from 1 species
CGGAACACCAUCAACGACCCUCCAAAAACUGUGGGAAAGCUCCAAACGCAGAUCAAACACUCGAAUCUUGCGAUUUGCUAAGAUCCAGUGUAUUACACUUAUAUAUUUAUAGUUCUGUUGGUUUUAUUUUAAUUGGAUAUAUGUGAUUUUGUGAGAUUAAUAAAGUAUUUGUGGUUUUCUUGUGAGAUUAUGAAAAUGGUUUUUCUAUCUAUCGUGGUAGCUUAUUUUUAAAGAAAAAGAUUUUCAUGUGGGAAACGAUUUUAAAAAGGGUUUUUCGGUUUUCAUGAUUUUUAGUAUUUUAAAAUGAGUUUCUGAGUGAGAAACAUUUUUAACUAAUAGAUGUGGUUUUAUGAUGAAAAUAUGGUAAACUUGUGAUUGAAUGAAUGUAAGUUGGUUUCUGUGAUGUGGUGAUUGUAUAUAGAUGUUUAUACAAUGUGGUUGUAUCUUACACUUGUGCGACGCCGUGCAAAUACUGGAUAGACUCUGUCCGUGUGAACAGUAGAUUCUCUGUAUUUGUGGCGAAUCUGACAUCCCCUGGGGUCAAGGUUUAAAAAAAAAAAAAAAAAUUGGGCACUUUUGCAUCGAUUUAAAACUUCAAAGGCGUGAUAAAUCGGUAUCUCAAGGAGAAGAAGGAUCAGACUGGAGUAGGAUCGAAUCAGGAUAAAUUAUCUGUGUUAUCUAAGUUUGAUUUUUCUUCUUUUAUUCAGUUGUGCAAUUUUAUCUUGGUUUAAUUUUACUUGAGUUUUUAGUUGUCAACUAAUUCACCCCUUUUCUUAAUUGCCAUGCAUUUGAUCCUUCAAUCCUUUGGUUACUUAGUAAAUGAU